rnacentral:rRNA from 1 species
UACGUAGGGUGCGAGCGUUGUCCGGAAUUACUGGGCGUAAAGAGCUCGUAGGUGGUUUGUCGCGUUGUUCGUGAAAACUCACAGCUCAACUGUGGGCGUGCGGGCGAUACGGGCAGACUGGAGUACUGCAGGGGAGACUGGAAUUCCUGGUGUAGCGGUGAAAUGCGCAGAUAUCAGGAGGAACACCGGUGGCGAAGGCGGUUCUCUGGGCAUGUCCUGACGCUGAGGAGCGAAAGUGUGGGGAGCGAACAGG